GGGCAGGUACCCAAGCGGCCAAAGGGGGCUGACUGUAAAUCAGCUGGCAGACGCCUUCGGUGGUUCGAAUCCGCCCCUGCCCA
rnacentral:tRNA from 1 species